rnacentral:rRNA from 1 species
GGGGAAUAUUGGACAAUGGGCGCAAGCCUGAUCCAGCCAUGCCGCGUGAGUGAUGAAGGCCCUAGGGUUGUAAAGCUCUUUCACCGGUGAAGAUAAUGACGGUAACCGGAGAAGAAGCCCCGGCUAACUUCGUGCCAGCAGCCGCGGUAAUACGAAGGGGGCUAGCGUUGUUCGGAAUUACUGGGCGUAAAGCGCACGUAGGCGGACAUUUAAGUCAGGGGUGAAAUCCCAGAGCUCAACUCUGGAACUGCCUUUGAUACUGGGUGUCUUGAGUAUGGAAGAGGUAAGUGGAAUUCCGAGUGUAGAGGUGAAAUUCGUAGAUAUUCGGAGGAACACCAGUGGCGAAGGCGGCUUACUGGUCCAUGACUGACGCUGAGGUGCGAAAGCGUGGGGAGCAAAC